UAGAAUGAAGCUCGCUGGAUAGAGUGUUUAGCUGUUAACUAAAAUUUUACGGGAUCGAAGCCCGUCUUUCUAG
rnacentral:tRNA from 1 species